rnacentral:rRNA from 1 species
UAAUCUCGGCAUCGAGGAUAGAUGAAAGGUGGCCUCUACAUGUAAGCUAUCACUGAAGGAGGGGAUUGCGUCUGAUUAGCUAGUUGGAGGGGUAACGGCCCACCAAGGCGAUGAUCAGUAGCCGGUCUGAGAGGAUGAACGGCCACAUUGGGACUGAGACACGGCCCAGACUCCUACGGGAGGCAGCAGUGGGGAAUCUUCCGCAAUGGACGAAAGUCUGACGGAGCAACGCCGCGUGAGUGAUGACGGCCUUCGGGUUGUAAAGCUCUGUUAAUCGGGACGAAAGGCCUUCUUGCGAAUAGUGAGAAGGAUCGAC